GUUUGAUCCUGGCUCAGGAUGAACGCUGGCGGUAUGCCUAACACAUGCAAGUCGUACGAGAGUUUUUAACUCAAGUGGCGGACGGGUGAGUAACACGUGAGAAUUUACCUUUAGGAGGGGGACAACAACUGGAAACGAUUGCUAAUACCCCAUAUGCUCUAGAGUGAAACGGAUUUUUCCGCCUAAAGAAAAGCUCGCGGCUGAUUAGCUUGUUGGUAAGGUAAUGGCUUACCAAGGCGACGAUCAGUAUCUGGUUUGAGAGGACGAUCAGACACACUGGAACUGAGACACGGUCCAGACUCCUACGGGAGGCAGCAGUGGGGAAUUUUCCGCAAUGGGCGAAAGCCUGACGGAGCAAUACCGCGUGAGGGAAGACGGCCUAUGGGUUGUAAACCUCUUUUUUCAGGGAGGAACAAAAUGACGUGUACCUGAAGAAUAAGCAUCGGCUAACUCCGUGCCAGCAGCCGCGGUAAGACGGAGGAUGCAAGUGUUAUCCGGAAUCACUGGGCGUAAAGCGUCUGUAGGUGGUUUGUUAAGUCAACUGUUAAAUCUUGAGGCUCAACUUCAAAUCAGCAGUCGAAACUAUCAGACUAGAGUAUAGUAGGGGUAAAGGGAAUUUCCAGUGGAGCGGUGAAAUGCGUAGAUAUUGGAAAGAACACCGAUGGCGAAGGCACUUUACUGGGCUAUUACUAACACUCAGAGACGAAAGCUAGGGUAGCAAAUGGGAUUAGAUACCCCAGUAGUCCUAGCUGUAAACAAUGGAUACUAGAUGUUGAACAGAUCGACCUGUGCAGUAUUAAAGCUAACGCGUUAAGUAUCCCGCCUGGGAAGUAUGCUCGCAAGAGUGAAACUCAAAGGAAUUGACG
rnacentral:rRNA from 1 species